rnacentral:rRNA from 1 species
CCUACGGGAGGCAGCAGUGAGGAAUAUUGGUCAAUGGGCGCGAGCCUGAACCAGCCAAGUAGCGUGAAGGAUGACUGUCCUACGGGUUGUAAACUUCUUUUAUAAAGGAAUUAAUUGAGGCAUGUGUGCCUUUUUGUAUGUACUUUAUGAUUCAGGAUCGGCUAACUCCGUGCCAGCAGCCGCGGUAAUACGGAGGAACCGAGCGUUAUCCGGAUUUAUUGGGUUUAAAGGGAGCGUAGAUGGGUUGUUAAGUCAGUUGUGAAAGUUUGCUGCUUAAACGUAAAAUUGCAAUUGAUACUGGCAGUCUUGAGUACAGGUGAGGUAGGCGGAAUUCGUGGUGUAGGGGUGAAAUGCUUAGAUAUCAAGAAGAAUUCCGAUUGCGAAGGCAGCUUACUAAACUGCCACUGACAUUGAUGCUCGAAAGUGUGGGUAGCAAACAGGAUUAGAUACCCGUGUAGUC